AUUUCCCCUAGAGGCAAGACAGAUGUGGCAUUAGUAGACACAUCUGUAGGUGGCAGAGAAGAGAGAAGCUAUGUUGGCCCUCACCAUUCUGACCUGCAAACAUCUGAAUGAUUAACAGCUCUAUAAA